rnacentral:siRNA from 1 species
CGGCCAGACUGCACUGCCUGCUGC